rnacentral:tRNA from 1 species
AGUGACUUAGGAUAAGAAGACCAAAGGCCUUCAAAGCCUUCAGCAGGAGUUAAAAUCUCCUAGUCUCUG